rnacentral:lncRNA from 1 species
ACAAGCACAACGACCGGAGUCGCAUUGUUGCGGAACACCCGAGCAUUUCGCUCAUUCCAAAUUUCCCAAGAGAUAGGAAUAAGGGAAACAAGCGGCCUUCGAGAUUGCGACCUCCCUUAAGUGUUGCUGCGCCACCACUCCUUGACGGAAACCAUGCCUCCCUAGUCCGUAGGAUGAACAUCAUGUAAACCAAGCCAUGUUUUGAUCAUUGCCCAAACUCUGGCUGCAUAUUCUGUAUAAAAGGAUCAAGUAGACAUGGAAGUAUGCUCAUAUAUUGUUGAAUCCUAUAAAACAUUUAAAAGGUAAUCCGCCGCAUUUUAAUAGCACUCUGUUUCUUAAAUAAGUGACAUUUUACUUGCCAGUUUGCAAGGUACAAAUUGAAACAUGAACUAUAGUAAAAACAUAAUCAUAAAGUCAUAAAUAAAUUUAUAGAAUCCCUCUAUCAAUAUUUCUGUAAAAUUUACUGUGUUUAAUGCUACAAAGAAUAGCAACUUGAAUUUCCACGAGGAGAAGUAUAUAUAGUUAUAUACACAUGCAGGUCUGCGCUUUCAAAUUUAGCAAAGCAUGAGCCAAAAUAACUUACGGAGUGGUGCGUUUUUGUUGCUUGUUGGUGUUCUAUGUGUCCCGACCACACUGGCGCUCAAUUCCUGCAGGAGUGCUGAAGACCGAGAGGAGGCGAUUCUGCCAAGCAUAACCUACUGCCCAAGCAGAUGUCAUUUAUUUAUGGAGAAGAGGGUAUUACAUACAAUUUUUUUGCGAGGCAGUUCAAUUUAAUGGGAAAAAUAUACCCUAGACAAGAUGUUGCAAUUGCAAACGCCUCACAUAAUAAAUUAUGUUCUAUAAUGAGAACACAAUCCAAUCCUUGAUGAGAAGACAUUUUUUCAAUGAUUCCCUUGUACCAUCAACAAAUCAAUUUGAAGAACAGAAAAAGUAUAUUAUUGUGAGAGUGCAUAUUGAAAGAAAAACGUGUACGAACUGGAUGAAAUAAUUACCCAUUUAAAUGGACUAAGAAAUAAGCAUAGAGGACUCUGGAGAUUGGAGUCAGCAUACCGAAGAGGAAAUGCAGGAAAUGGAAUACCCCACUGGCCUCACCGAAUAAUAAGUCCCUCGGUUCAUUGAUUCAUCACCUUGAGGUAAAUAUCGUAGCACCGCCUGCUCCUCUUCUUUGAAUCAUUAUUGUUUGUAAACAUAGUCUUUAGCCAUAGUCUGUAGUACUAUGCCAGCCCAUUGAGACCAACACGACACAUAGUCAAAUGUUAUAGUACGCAACUGAGGAUACAUGAGGAAAAUGAAAGGACUUUGCACUUGUGCAUUGGCAAAAAGCUUCCAAGGCAUAAGCCACAAAACCAUGAUAUAUAGAAAGGUGUGACAACUCUCGAGUUUAGUACACCGAAUUUUGAAAAACACUGAAAAAACAUGAUAAAACAAAAUCCAAAAAAUCUAAAAUUUUGAGACAAAAAUAAUUAUCAAAUGCUUGAGCUUCAUGCAAAAUUUGAGCGAAAAAUAACAUCCGAGGAACUCUCACCAUAAAAAACAAAAUCACUGCUCAAAGAGUGCAUAAAACUUUUAAGCAGGACGUAUUGAUCUUUCAUGUUACUUUACCUGGAAAGGGUAAGAACAAACGCACCGCAAACGCAAGAAAAGCAGUCCACAGCCCAUAUUCACUCCUAAAUUAGGAAUCGACAUGAUAGUAUAAGUAGGCCAAAAGUAAGUGUUCUUGUCUCAAAAAGAAUAAACAUCCAGUAGCUAUAGCAAGGAAAGGGGAAAAGGUAUCAUCAGAUAAUUCUUU